AUUGAACGCUGGCGGCAGGCUUAACACAUGCAAGUCGAGCGGAGAGAGGUAGCUUGCUACUGAUCUUAGCGGCGGACGGGUGAGUAAUGCUUAGGAAUCUGCCUAUUAGUGGGGGACAACAUUUCGAAAGGAAUGCUAAUACCGCAUACGUCCUACGGGAGAAAGCAGGGGAUCUUCGGACCUUGCGCUAAUAGAUGAGCCUAAGUCGGAUUAGCUAGUUGGUGGGGUAAAGGCCUACCAAGGCGACGAUCUGUAGCGGAUCUGAGAGGAUGAUCGGCCACACUGGGACUGAGACACGGCCCAGACUCCGACGGGAGGCAGCAGUGGGGAAUAUUGGACAAUGGGCGCAAGCCUGAUCCAGCCAUGCCGCGUGUGUGAAGAAGGCCUUAUGGUUGUAAAGCACUUUAAGCGAGGAGGAGGCUACUUUAGUUAAUACCUAGAGAUAGUGGACGUUACUCGCAGAAUAAGCACCGGCUAACUCUGUGCCAGCCGCCGCGGUAAGAC
rnacentral:rRNA from 1 species